GUAGGUGGCAAGCGUUGUCCGGAAUUAUUGGGCGUAAAGCGCGCGCAGGUGGCUCUUUAAGUCUGAUGUGAAAGCCCCCGGCUCAACCGGGGAGGGUCAUUGGAAACUGGGGAACUUGAGUGCAGGAGAGGAAAGUGGAAUUCCACGUGUAGCGGUGAAAUGCGUAGAUAUGUGGAGGAACACCAGUGGCGAAGGCGACUUUCUGGCCUGUAACUGACACUGAGGCGCGAAAGCGUGGGGAGCAAACAGGGAUUAGAUACCCUGGUAGUCCACGCCGUAAACGAUGAGUGCUAAGUGUUGGGGGGGUUUCCCGCCCCUCAGUGCUGCAGCUAACGCAUUAAGCACUCCGCCUGGGGAGUACGGUCGCAAGACUG
rnacentral:rRNA from 1 species